rnacentral:rRNA from 1 species
GGGCUUANGAUUUAAACCGCGGGGGGCCAGGCUUAACACCNUGCAWGUCKAGCGGUAAANGAGAGGGUGCUUGCNCCUUUGCUGACNAGCGGCGGACGGGUGAGUAAUGCUUGGGAACAUGCCUUGAGGUGGGGGACAACAGUGGAAACGACUGCUAAUACCGCAUAAUGUCUACGACCAAAGGGGGCUUCGGCUCUCGCCUUUAGAUUGGCCCAAGUGGGAUWAGCUAGUUGGUGAGGUAAUGGCUCACCAAGGCGACGAUCCCUAGCUUGGUUUGAGAGGAUGAUCAGCCACACUGGGACUGAGACACGGCCCAGACUCUACGGAGGCAGCAGUGGGGAAUAUUGCACAAUGGGCGCAAGCCUGAUGCAGCCAUGCCGCGUGUGUGAAGAAGGNCUUCGGGUUGUAAAGCACUUUCAGUCAGGAGGAAAGGUUAGUAGUUAAUACCUGCUAGCUGUGACGUUACUGACAGAAGAAGCACCGGCUAACUCCGUGCCAGCAGCCGCGGUAAUACGGAGGGUGCGAGCGUUAAUCGGAAUUACUGGGCGUAAAGCGUACGCAGGCGGUUUGUUAAGCGAGAUGUGAAAGCCCUGGGCUCAACCUGGGAACUGCAUUUCGAACUGGCAAACU